UGGCUCAGUCGGUAGAGCACGUGACUCUUGAUCUCGGGGUUGUGAGUUCAAGCCCCAC
rnacentral:tRNA from 1 species